CCCUUAGAUGUUCUGGGCCGCACGCGCGCUACACUGAUGCGUUCAACAAGUUUCCUUGGCCGAGAGGCCUGGGCAAUCUUCUUAAUAUGUAUCGUGAUAGGGAUAGAUUAUUGCAAUUAUUAAUCUUGAACGAGGAAUUCCUAGUAAACGCAGAUCAUCAAUCUGCAUUGAUUACGUCCCUGCCCUUUGUACACACCGCCCGUCGCACCUACCGAUUGGAUGUUCCGGUGAAGCCUCGGGGUGAGGACUGGUGCCUUUAUUGGCAUGAGUUGUUCAGAACUUGUCUAAACCUUAUCAUCUAGAGGAAGGUGAAGUCGUAACA
rnacentral:rRNA from 1 species